UUUGGCUAGGGUAUGGGCUAAGGUAUGGUUCAUGGUGUGAGUCACCCAAAUCAUGUGGCCCUCAUGGAACCGUAUGUUGUCGCUUUAAUCGCUCAACACGUGUCUCACUUUUUGUUUAGUUUAUCAAAAAUUUUAUUUGGGUAUAGCUUCUGUCAUCGUAAAAUUUUGAAAAAAUUUAAAUUGCUAUUGAUGUAUUUACAUUUUUACUAUUACUAUAAUAAAGUAAAAUUAAUUUAUGGGUUGGGGUAUUACAUGUCAUAUGUUUCGGUUCGUAUUGUGGGCAGACCAACCUUCAUUAGGAUUACAACUUUGAAUCCUAAAGCCAAAGCAGAAGGUGUUUCGUUCGUUGUUUUCCGCGGUGUGAUCCGAUAGGGCCACAAAAUGUUUGGUCGUUCCUCGACCUAUUUGCCUUUGACUUUUUCGAGCAUCUUCUUGAUUUCGUUCAUGAUUAUUUUAUUGGUGGCCUUGGCUUACUCAUUGCACUGUGUGUAGAUCGGUAUUGAGUUGUAUAACUCGAUUUUCAAUUGCCUCAACAGAUCCUUGACUUUUUAUCCUACGAACUGAAUUUUGCUGUCUGAUAUGAAUGCGCUGGGGAUGCCAAAUCUGGAAAGAAUGUUUCUACGAAUGAAUCUGAUUACAUCUAUCUUCUUAAUUUGGGCCAGUAGUUCAACCUCCACACAUUUUGUGAAAUAGUCUAUUGUUGCUAACAAAAAAUUUUUGUUCCCUAGAGCUCGGGGCAUAACCUCCACGAUAUCCAUUUCCCACUGGGCAAAGGGCUAUGGAUUGAUGAGAGGGGUCAAGUCCUUUGCUAGUUGAUAAAUUAAAGGGGAGAAUAGUUGGCAUUUCAUACACUUACGGAUGUACACUUGGAAGUCCUUUUGCAUGAAUGGCCACCAGUAUCCCUAAGUCAAAGCUCGGUGAACCAAUGAUCUUCCCCCGGAGUAUAGUCUGCAAAUGUCUUCAUGGAUUUUAAAAGCACAUCUUCGACUAGGCUCGGGCAGAUGCACAGUAGGUAGGGUCCUAAAUAUGACCUUUUGUACAAGUCUCCCAUGGGAGUUAUCCAAAAUCGUGCUACUUUUAUUUGGAAUUUGUGCGCCUUUUUUUUGUCAUGUCGGAGAAAAUUUACAAUUUGAUUAAUCCGUCUUGGCCCCAGCUCAGUGUUGAUUAGGAUGAAUUCUUGAGGCAUUUUGUGACAUGGGGCCAAGAUCAAAUCGACUGUAAUGGUCUGACCUGUGUUUUUUUCGAAAAUUGAUGCCAAGCCUGCCAAUGCGUCUACAUGUGAAUUUAAGUCCCUUCCCUUUUGCUCAAUUUUGAUUGAUUUGAAUUCGAUGAGGAGCGUUUUCGCUAUUACUAAGUACUUAGCCAUCUUGGCUUCUCGAGAUUCAAAUUUUCCCAUGACUUGGUUGAUUACCAAUUUUGAAUCACUAAAAAUAUAGAGUUCGAGAACCUUUAGUUUGCUAACAGAUCAAAGUCCCAUAAUGAAAGCUUCGUAUUCGGCCUCGUUAUUUAGCAUAGGAAAAUUCAGCCUAAGCUAGUGCUUAAAUAUUGUCCCUUUUGGGGACUUUUUAGAACUACUCCUGCCCCUGCCCCUAGGCUGUUCUUCGCUCCAUUAACGAACUUUUUCCAUGCUAAGGAGAGAUCAAUCAGAGGUGGUUCUAUAUUAACCACGAGAAUCCCAGUGAUUCCCCAGCAAUGGUUAUUUUUGCUCUAUGAGGUGGUUCUUUAAUAACCUCAUGGCCCUCGAAUGCUAAAUUGGUCUGAAUUGACUUUCUUGAUGAGCUCCCUCUUACUUAUUUGCAGAUGCAAGGAAACCUUGCUCUGGACCCACAUUUUGGGGUGAGAAUUCAGCCAUAAAAUCAGUCAAGACUUGUCCUUUUAUUUCUACAUUGGGCAAAAAAAAUUAUGUUUGAUUGUCUUAGCUCGAUGGCCCAUUUGGAGAGCUGCUUAGACAAAUCUGAUUUGGAUAAGAUGUUUUUAAGAAAAAACUCGCUAUACACAAUAAUGGGAUGUGCUUGCAAAUAAUGCAUGAGUUUUCAUGAAGUUAAAGCUAAGGCCACACAAGUUUUUCCAACGGCAUGUACCUUAUUUCACAACUUGAUUGACACAAAAUAUUAUAAUUUAUCCAUCAAAUUCUCCCAUAUUUUAGUAUUCUUGUGCAUAUAGUCUAUUCAAUUUAAUCAUUGUUUGGCGCAAGUGGAUUUAAAAUAUUUUACAAUUCAAAAAGAGCAAAAAGACAAUUAGAAAUGGAUAGGAGAAGUCCCGGCGUGGCGAUAUGAAACCCAAAGUUGAGAACCUGGCAAUUAAAGCAGGUGACUACCGGUAGUCCAUAAUUCCAGAGAGUUUUGGAACUUAAUUAACUACCAAUAGUGGAUUCAGGAACUACCGGUAGUCCAUGGUUGAACAAGCUGGCAAAGGCAUAGGCUGCAGGGAAAAGGACAUGCAUGCAGCAUGAAUGACAAGUCAUAGCUCUCUCUCUCACGUCUCUUUCACUCUCUCCCCUAUCACUAUUAUUCCCUCAUUCUUUUAUGUACAUAUCUUAUAUAUAUAUACAUUCUCUCUCUCUCCUCCCAUCACUUUUACUUUCUCUCUCCAUCAUAUAUAUAUAUAUAUAUAUAUAUAUAUAUAUAUAUAUAUCAUAAAAAUAGGGAGACAGGCCCCAAAAUCGAGACUUUCAUUUUUUACACUUUGCAUUUUAGAAUUUUAGGUUAGUUUUAGAUUACUUAGUUUAAAUUAGAUUUAAGUUCAAUCCUUGUAAUUUUUGGAUUCAACCACUUCAGUUAAAGUUUUUAAAUUUUUAUUUAUUUUCGUAAUUUUCAUUAAUACCAUUCUAUUUCUAUUUAUUCUUUAAAAUGCACAUUUAGUUUUUAAAUUUUCAUUUUAGUUUUUAAAUUUUCAUUUCUUUUCUGAGUUCAUGUUUGUAUUUUUUGAUUUAAUAUUUUAUCUAUAUGUAAGUUUGAGUUUUCCUCAAGUAUGAGGCGAUACAUUUAGAGGCUCGGUUCAAGGGCUACGUCCCCGUUUGACCCUUCAAUGAACUAGUUUUUUCUCUCUUUCAAAAUAGUUUUAAUAUCUAUUUAGAAAUAAUUAAUGGUAUUGUUAAAGAUCAAAACUCAAAAUUGUAUACAUCUUUGAUUAUUUGUCAACAAGAACACUUGGUACAAGUAAUGCUUAGAUCAAUUGCAUUCUAGGUGUUUGAAACCAUAUCCAAAUCCAUUAUUGAUUUCAUAAACACAUCUUUAGACAAAAAAUGCACUUUUCAUCAUUAAAUCUUAUGAUCAAUAUCAUAGUAUAAAUAAGAUGUGAUUGAGUUUAAAUGAGAGAAGAUGUUAGAACAUUUAAGAUAGGAGAAGACUAAGUACUUGAAUUGAGCCAUUUUACAUUUAUAGUUUACAUUUCAUUUGCAUUAUUCUCCAAAAUUCACAAAAAUACAUUUUUACACUUUUUACACUUAAAACAAAACUCAAUCUUGCAAAUC
rnacentral:lncRNA from 1 species